AACACACCGGUUCCCGUAUGAUCACUGAAGUUAAGCAACGUCGAGCCUGGUCAGUACCUUGAUGGGUAAUUGUUUGGGAAUACUAGGUGUU